UGACCGCUGGCGGCGUGCCUAAUACAUGCAAGUCGAGCGAACAGACGAGGAGCUUGCUCCUCUGACGUUAGCGGCGGACGGGUGAGUAACACGUGGAUAACCUACCUAUAAGACUGGGAUAACUUCGGGAAACCGGAGCUAAUACCGGAUAAUAUAUUGAACCGCAUGGUUCCAUAGUGAAAGACGGUUUUGCUGUCACUUAUAGAUGGAUCCGCGCCGCAUUAGCUAGUUGGUAAGGUAACGGCUUACCAAGGCAACGAUGCGUAGCCGACCUGAGAGGGUGAUCGGCCACACUGGAACUGAGACACGGUCCAGACUCCUACGGGAGGCAGCAGUAGGGAAUCUUCCGCAAUGGGCGAAAGCCUGACGGAGCAACGCCGCGUGAGUGAUGAAGGUCUUCGGAUCGUAAAACUCUGUUAUUAGGGAAGAACAAAUGUGUAAGUAACUAUGCACGUCUUGACGGUACCUAAUCAGAAAGCCACGGCUAACUACGUG
rnacentral:rRNA from 1 species